AUAAUCAUUAGUCUUCUAAUUAGAGAAUAGUAUGAAUGGUUGCACAAGGUUUUGUUUUAUUUAAUUUAAGGGUUGAAUUUAAAUUUUUAGUGAAAAUGCUUUGAUUUAUUUUUAGACGAUAAGACCCUAUAGAGUUUUAUUUAGUGUGUAAAACUUAAAAUUAGUAUUAAUUAAUUUUUAAUGUUAAAUUUUAUUGGGGCAAUAAAUGAAUAAAAAAAACUUCUUUUAUACAGAUUUUAUAAAAAUUAAAAACUUCUUUUAGAAAUUUUAUAAAAAAUUACCUUAGGGAUAACAGCGUUAUUAAAGUUAAGAGCUCUAAUCGACACUUUAGAUUGCGACCUCGAUGUUGAAUUAAAAAUUUUUUAGGGGGCAGUACUUUUAAUUUACGGUCUGUUCGACCGUUAAAUUUUUACAUGAUUUGAGUUCAGACCGGCGUGA
rnacentral:rRNA from 1 species